AUAGCGCCGUGAUGGGCUUUGCGGUGUCGGUGUGCGAUGGGUCGGAUCCAACGCGGGGCACCGAAUGUGGGCUGUUGGGGCAGAGCUGCUGCGGGUGGGGGCCGCAGUGCUGCGCGGCCGUGGGGCGUAUGGGGCCGCUAUGGGGCUGGGGGCUGCUGCGGCUGCACUGGCCCCGUUAUGGGUUUGUAGGGCUGCUUAUGGGCUUGUAGGGCUGCUUAUGGGCUUGUAGGGCCGCUCAUGGCUUUGUAGGGCCAUGGGUCUAUGGGGCUGGUUAAGAGCUUGUAGGGCUGUUCAUGGGUUUGUAGGGCUGCUUAUGGGCUUGUAGGGUUGCUCAUGGCUUUGUAGGCCCAUGGGCUUGUAGGGCUGCUUAUGGGUUUGGAGGGCCAUGGGUUUGGAGGGCUGCUUAUGGGCUUGUAGGGCUGCUCAUGGCUUUGUAGGGUCAUGGGUCUAUGGGGUUGGUUAAGGGCUUAUGGGGCUGUUCAUGGGUUUGUAGCGCCAUGGGUUUGUAGGGCUGUUCGUGGCUUUGUAGGGCCAUGGGUUUGUAGGGCUGCUUAUGGCCUUGUAGGGCUGCUCAUCAGUUUGUAGGGCCAUGGGUUUGUAGGGCUGGGUAUGGCUUUGUAGGGCCAUGGGGCUAUGGGGCUGGUUAAGGGCUUUUAGGGCUGUUCAUUGGUUUGUAGGGUUGGUUAUGUGUUUGUAGAGCCAUGGGUCUGUGGGGCUAGAUAUGGGCUUGUAGGACUAGUUAUGGGUUUAUAGGGCUGGUUUGGGCUUGUAGGGUUGGUUAUGGGUCUGUAGGGCUUCUCAUGGGUUUGUAGGGCCAUGGGUUUGUAGGGCUGGUCAUGGGUCUGUAGGGCUUCUCAUGGGUUUGUAGGGCCAUGGGUUUGUAGGGCUGGUCAUGGGUCUGUAGGGCUUCUCGUGGGUUUGUAGAGCUGUUCACGGGUUUGUAGGGCCAUGGGUCUAUGGGACUGGUUAGGGGCUUAUAGGGCUGUUCAUGGGUUUGUAGGAUUGGUUAUGGGUUUGUAGGGCUGCUCAUGGGCUUGUAGGGCUUCUCAUGGGUUCACUGGCCCAGUUAUGGGCUUGUAGGGCUUGUUAUAGGUUUAUAGGGCUGGUUAUGGGUCUGUGAGACUGCUCAUGGGUUUGUAGGGGCAUGGGUUUGUAGGGCUGCGUAUGGGUCUGUAGGGUUGGUUAUGGGGUUAUAGGGCUAGUUAUGGGUUUGUAGGGUUGGUUAUGUGUUAGAAGUGUUGGUUAUGGGUUUGUAGGGCCAUGGGUCUAUGGGGCUGCUUAUGGGCUUGUAGGGCUGUUCAUGGGCUUGUAGGGAUGGUUAUGUGUUUGAAGUGUUGAUUAUGGGUUUGUAGGGCCAUGGGUUUGUAGGGCUGGUUAUGGGUCUGUGGGGCUGGUUAUGGGUCUAUAGGGCUGUUCAUGGGUUUGUAGGACUGGUUAUGUCUCUGUGGGGCUGCUCAUGGUCUUGUAGCACUGCUCAUGGUUUUAUCGGUCCAGUUAUGGGUUUAUAGGUUCGGCUAUGGGUCUGUUGGUCCGGUUAUGGGUUUAUAGGUCCACUCAUGGAUUUAUCGGCUCAGUGAUGGGUUCAUUGGUAGGGUUAUGGAUUUACCCAUCUGGUCACGUAUUUAUCCGUCCAGUUGUGGGUUUAUCAGUGCGGUUGUAGAUCUAUCGGUUAUGGGUUUAAUGCUCCACUCAUGGACUUAUAGGUCCGGCCAGGGCUUAUCGGUCCGGUCAUGGCUUUAUUGGUUAUGGGUUCAGAGACCUGGGCAUGGGUUUAUCGGUCCAGUUAUGGGUUUAUCGGUCCAGUUAUGGGUUUAUUGGUCCAGUCAUGGGUUUAUUGACCCAGUUAUGGGUUUAUCAAUCCAGUUAUGGGUUUAUUGACCCAGUUAUGGGUUUAUUGAUCUAGUAAAGGGUUUAUUGGUCCAGUCAUGGGUUUAUCGAUCCAGUUAUGGGUUUAUCAAUCCAGUCAUGGGUUUAUUGAUCCAGUUAUGGGUUUAUUGAUCCAGUUAUGGGUUUAUCGGUCCAGUUAUGGGUUUAUUGAUCCAGUUAUGGGUUUAUCGAUCCAGUAAUGGGUUUAUUGAUCCAGUUAUGGGUUUAUCGGUCCAGUUAUGGGUUUAUCGAUCCAGUAAUGGGUUUAUCGAUCCAGUAAUGGGUUUAUUGAUCCAGUUAUGGGUUUAUCGGUCCAUUCAUGGGUUUCUCCACCCGGUUAUGGAUUAUUGGCCCAUGACGGCUGUGUAGGUCCGGUCAUGGCUUUAUCGGGUCCGGUUAUGGAUUUACCCAUCAGCUCCCGGAUCCAACGGUCCAUCUGGGGGUUGGUUGGUUGGGUUGUGGGUUUAUCGGUCCAGCCGUGAGUUUAUCCCUUUGGAUAUGGAUUUAUCAGUCCGGUUAUGGGUUUAUCCAUCCGGUCACGGAUUGAUCGGUCCCAUUAUGGAUUUGUAGGUCCAGCCAUGGAUUUGUAGGUCCGGUUAUGGGUUUAUCCAUCCGGUCACGGAUUGAUCGGUCCCAUUAUGGAUUUGUAGGUCCAGCCAUGGAUUUGUAGGUCCGGUUAUGGGUUUAUCCAUCCGGUCACGGAUUGAUCGGUCCCAUUAUGGAUUUGUAGGUCCAGCCAUGGAUUUGUAGGUCCGGUUAUGGGUUUAUCCAUCCGGUCACGGAUUGAUCGGUCCCAUUAUGGAUUUGUAGGUCCGGUUAUGGGUUUAUCUCUCCGGUUAUGGAUGAUUUACGGCUCUGAGGGUGUGGGGUUGGGCGACACACGGAGCACUGAUGCGCUUUUGAGGUUUCUUUGGCCUCAGCGCUGGCACAGCCCUUCGUCCCAUGGCCGAGGUUGGGGUUGACCCCUCGGUGGCUGCGGAGCCGACACAGCGCCGCCCCAUUGGGGUGGAUGUGGGCUCAGGGUUGGGGGGUGGGGGGGGACGGCGGUGCCAUCGGUCGGUGCUGCAGAGUGGGGCUGAGCCGUGCCGGGAGCCAUGGACUGCUCCAUCGGCGGCCCCGAUCAGCCCCAAUCAGCCCCAAUCAGCCCCACUCAGCCCCAAUCAGCCCCGAUCAGCCCCGAUCAGCCCCAAUCAGCCCCACUCAGCCCCAAUCAGCCCCGAUCAGCCCCGAUCAGCCCCAAUCAGCCCCACUCAGCCCCAAUCAGCCCCGAUCAGCCCCAAUCAG
ensembl:lncRNA